rnacentral:tRNA from 1 species
GCCCCCGUAGUCCAAUUGGCAGAGGCGCUGGCCCGAGGAGCCAGAUGUGCGGGUUCGAAUCCCGCCGGGGGUA